UACGUAGGGUGCAAGCGUUGUCCGGAAUUAUUGGGCGUAAAGAGCUCGUAGGCGGUCUGUCGCGUCGGCUGUGAAAACCCGGGGCUCAACCCCGGGCCUGCAGUCGAUACGGGCAGACUAGAGUGCGGUAGGGGAGACUGGAAUUCCUGGUGUAGCGGUGAAAUGCGCAGAUAUCAGGAGGAACACCGGUGGCGAAGGCGGGUCUCUGGGCAUUACCUGACGCUGAGGAGCGAAAGUGUGGGGAGCGAACAGG
rnacentral:rRNA from 1 species